CCCCAUUUACUUUCCUUUCACACCAAGGAUUCCUAUAUUAAAUAUAAUUGAUUUACUUUAAUUCAUAUUUUCCUACUAUAAAUAGAAUUAGGAGUUCUUACUUUCCUUGACCCACAAGGAUUUAUUGUAUGAUAAAUAUGACCUCCUACAAGGAGAAGAAUACAUAGAAAUUUUCCACAAACAAUAUUCUCUUAUAGGUUUUCAUAUUUUAGCAGUGGUGUGCCCUCUGAUUGGUUUCGUCUUCGAUUUUAGCUUAUGUUUUGCUAUCUUUUUCCAUUGUUAUGUUGCUCCUUUGCAGCUCAUCUUUGCUCUACACUACCGAAAACCUAUGUUUGGUCGUAGGAGUUCUCUUUGUCAAGUUCUGAUUUGAGUUGGGAUGCUUUUCAAAGGCCUCUCUUGUUAUUGUUUUUGUGCUCUUCCUCCAUGUACUCUCCUGUGUUUCUGUCCUUGGUGCAUUUUUGUAGUUCAUGGGCGCCCAAAGAACUACGAGUUUUUCUCAGGGAAGGCUUUUUUUGAUAGUUGGGAUGCGAAGCGGUUCUCUUUAUGUGUCUACUGUGUUGUUGUUUAGUUGGUUUUUUUUUAUGUUCUUAGUCUUUUGGGGUCUGGGUCAAACUCUC
rnacentral:lncRNA from 1 species